rnacentral:rRNA from 1 species
GAUUAUGGCUCAGGAUGAACGCUAGCUACAGGCUUAACACAUGCAAGUCGAGGGGCAGCAUUGGAGUAGCAAUACUCAGAUGGCGACCGGCGCACGGGUGAGUAACACGUAUCCAACCUGCCGCUUACUCGGGGAUAGCCUUUCGAAAGAAAGAUUAAUACCCGAUGGUAUAAAGAGUUCGCAUGUUCUCUUUAUUAAAGAAUUUCGGUAAGCGAUGGGGAUGCGUUCCAUUAGAUAGUUGGCGGGGUAACGGCCCACCAAGUCUACGAUGGAUAGGGGUUCUGAGAGGAAGGUCCCCCACAUUGGAACUGAGACACGGUCCAAACUCCUACGGGAGGCAGCAGUGAGGAAUAUUGGUCAAUGGACGAGAGUCUGAACCAGCCAAGUUAACGCGUGAAGGAUGACUGCCCUAUGGGUUGUAAACUUCUUUUAUAAGGGAAUAAAGUGAGGGACGUGUCCCUUUUUGUAUGUACCUUAUGAAUAAGGAUCGGCUAACUCCGUGCCAGCAGCGGC